AUUGAACGCUGGCGGCAGGCCUAACACAUGCAAGUCGAACGAGUGGCGGACGGGCGAGUAAUGUCUGGGCAACUGCCUGAUGGAGGGGGCUAACUACUGGAAAAGGUAGCUACUACCGCAUACCAUCAGAUGGGCCCAGAUGGGAUUAGCUAGUGGGGGGGGUAACGGCUCACCAAGGCGACGAUCCCUAGCUGGGCUGAGAGGAUGACCAGCCACACUGGAACUGAGACAUGGUCCAGACUCCUACGGGAGGCAGCAGUGGGGAAUAUUGGACAAUGGGCGCAAGCCUGAUGCAGCCAUGCCGCGUGUAUGAAGAAGGCCUUCGGGUUGUAAAGUACUUUCAGCGGGGAGGCGUUACCCGCAGAAGAAGCACCGGCUAACUCCGUGCCAGCAGCCGCGGUAAUUU
rnacentral:rRNA from 1 species